AAAGCGCGCGUAGGUGGUUUGUUAAGUUGGAUGUGAAAUCCCCGGGCUCAACCUGGGAACUGCAUUCAAAACUGACUGACUAGAGUGUGGUAGAGGGUGGUGGAAUUUCCUGUGUAGCGGUGAAAUGCGUAGAUAUAGGAAGGAACACCAGUGGCGAAGGCGACCACCUGGACCAACACUGACACUGAGGUGCGAAAGCGUGGGGAGCAAACAGGAUUAGAUACCCCAGU
rnacentral:rRNA from 1 species